rnacentral:rRNA from 1 species
GACGAACGCUGGCGGCGUGCUUAACACAUGCAAGUCGAACGGAAAGGCCCUGCUUUUGUGGGGUGCUCGAGUGGCGAACGGGUGAGUAACACGUGAGUAACCUGCCCUUGACUUUGGGAUAACUUCAGGAAACUGGGGCUAAUACCGGAUAGGAGCUCCUGCUGCAUGGUGGGGGUUGGAAAGUUUCGGCGGUUGGGGAUGGACUCGCGGCUUAUCAGCUUGUUGGUGGGGUAGUGGCUUACCAAGGCUUUGACGGGUAGCCGGCCUGAGAGGGUGACCGGCCACAUUGGGACUGAGAUACGGCCCAGACUCCUACGGGAGGCAGCAGUGGGGAAUAUGGCACAAUGGGCGGAAGCCUGAUGCAGCAACGCCGCGUGCGGGAUGACGGCCUUCGGGUUGUAAACCGCUUUCGCCUGCGACGAAGCGUGAGUGACGGUAAUGGGUAAAGAAGCACCGGCUAACUACGUG